GCCUGUGUGGCUUAGUCGGGUAAGCAUCUGACUUCAGCUCAGGUCAUGAUCUUGCAGUUUGUGAGUUCGAGCCCUGCAUCAGGCU
rnacentral:tRNA from 1 species